rnacentral:rRNA from 1 species
GAUGAACGCUGGCGGCGUGCCUAAUACAUGCAAGUCGAGCGAACGGACGAGAAGCUUGCUUCUCUGAUGUUAGCGGCGGACGGGUGAGUAACACGUGGAUAACCUACCUAUAAGACUGGGAUAACUUCGGGAAACCGGAGCUAAUACCGGAUAAUAUUUUGAACCGCAUGGUUCAAAAGUGAAAGACGGUCUUGCUGUCACUUAUAGAUGGAUCCGCGCUGCAUUAGCUAGUUGGUAAGGUAACGGCUUACCAAGGCAACGAUGCAUAGCCGACCUGAGAGGGUGAUAGGCCACACUGGAACUGAGACACGGUCCAGACUCCUAAGGGAGGCAGCAGUAGGGAAUCUUCCGCAAUGGGCGAAAGCAUGACGGAGCAACGCCGCGUGAGUGAUGAAGGUCUUCGGAUCGUAAAACUCUGUUAUUAGGGAAGAACAGAUGUGUAAGUAACUGUGCACAUCUUGACGGUACCUAAUCAGAAAGCCACGGCUAACUACGUG